rnacentral:rRNA from 1 species
UACGUAGGUGGCAAGCGUUGUCCGGAAUUAUUGGGCGUAAAGCGCGCGCAGGCGGUCCUUUAAGUCUGAUGUGAAAGCCCACGGCUCAACCGUGGAGGGUCAUUGGAAACUGGGGGACUUGAGUACAGAAGAGAAGAGUGGAAUUCCACGUGUAGCGGUGAAAUGCGUAGAGAUGUGGAGGAACACCAGUGGCGAAGGCGACUCUUUGGUCUGUAACUGACGCUGAGGCGCGAAAGCUAGGGGAGCAAACGGG